CAAAUACACAACAGACAGUGCCUGGGAUGUUAAAUCUCUCAAGAAGUGGGUCAGGAACACCAUACGGAGGGAGACAAAUUUUAACAUGUAGGAUAUCUUCCUGUUUUCUUUUACACAAUGACUCUGCUGAUCAGCAGGAAUGGGAGGAAAGCGUAAAGGAGUUGGCCAGACCAGGGCAGGAUAAUGGCAUCGGCGAUACCGCCCCUCUCCAGACCCCUCCGGAGCAGAACCGGGGGCAUCGUCAGUUCUGUUGGGUCUCGAAUAGGUCCACCUGAGGAGUUCCCCACCUCCGGAAAAGCUGGAGGGCCACUUCCGGGUGUAGGGACUACUCAUGUUGAGAGGAAAAGUCUCUGCUCAAGUGAUCCACCCACACGUUCUGGGUGCCCGCAGGCCCGGGGCAGUGCAUGUGGACACGAGGAGUGCCACAAGAUCCCUCACCUAUGACUGAGAGGUGCCCUUGACCAGCCAGUCGUCCAGAUAGGGGAAUAUCUGGAGCCCCCGGUGCCUGAGCACCUUCCCGUCAAAAGGGAGAUCCCGCACUGACGACUGCACUUCGCUAGAUAGCCCAGAGAGCAGAAGCCAGACUCCCAUCUCAUGGACAUUGCCGAGGCCAUGGACUGUGUGGCCGUGUCCGCUGCAUCUGAAGCGGCCUGCAGGGAUGCCCUUGCGGCAGCUGUCCCUUCCUCCAUGAGCACCUUAAACUCCUUUCUAUUGCACUGCCGGAGGGAGUCCUCGAACUUGGGGAGAGAUGCCCAGAGAUUAAACUCGUAGCGACCCAGAAGAGCCUGAUGGUUUGCUACUCUCAACUGGAAGCUUGAUGAUGAAUACAUUUUUCUCCUGAAAGCAUCCAGACUCUGAGAGUCUUUGUUCUUUGGGGUCGGGGCUGGCUGCCCCUGUUGCUCCCUGUGGUUGACCGACU